rnacentral:rRNA from 1 species
UACGUAGGUGGCGAGCGUUAUCCGGAAUUAUUGGGCGUAAAGGGUGCGUAGGCGGCCUGUUAAGUUUAAGGUGAAAGCGUGGGGCUCAACCCCAUAUAGCCUUAGAUACUGGCAGGCUAGAGUACUGGAGAGGAAAGUGGAAUUCCAUGUGUAGCGGUAAAAUGCGUAGAGGUAUGGAGGAACACCGGCGGCGGAGGCGGCUCUCUAGACAGUAACUGACGCUGAGGCACGAAAGCGUGGGGAGCAAAUA